rnacentral:lncRNA from 1 species
GGGAACUGAACGCUUAAGUCACCAAGGGACGGGGUUCACGGUACCUAGGGGUGCCUAAGGUAGGACCUGCUGGGAGUGACCAAGGAGUUCAAGAAGCAUCUGUCUGUCUGAUGUCAAUCCCCUGGCUCUGGAGCUGUGACCUUGGAAUCCGGGAAGGGACAGAUUGGAAUGGGAAUCCCAUGUGUGCAUGUUACCUGAGUGACCUGAGUGUUGGGGAAACAAACCGACCAACCUGGAAGAGAAUAGGACAGAAAUCCAAACCAGCCCACUCAUCCCACCUUUGGAGCCAAUUCCCUUGGAGAGCAGGCUCCAUGUCCUUCCAUCCUCAGCAGCCGGAACCUUGGGGCGGGCACAGGCCACCUCUGGGACAAUAGUGCUAGGCAGUGC